rnacentral:sRNA from 1 species
GGCACCAGGAGCCCACCCGGCGCCGGGCGGGCGGGUCCAUUUUGCCGCACAAGCCGGGCUAUUGGCAAACUGCGGAUGGGCAGGUCCACCUUCCUUCGGGGGUGAGCGGCCUGAGAUCCAGAGACAAUGGCCCCGAUGGGAUGGAGCCCGAAGGCGUCAUCGAGAGUAACUGGAAUGAGAUUGUUGACAGCUUUGAUGACAUGAACCUCUCGGAGUCCCUUCUCCGUGGUAUCUACGCCUAUGGUUUUGAGAAGCCCUCUGCCAUCCAGCAGCGAGCCAUUCUACCUUGUAUCAAGGGUUAUGAUGUGAUUGCUCAAGCCCAAUCUGGGACUGGGAAAACGGCCACAUUUGCCAUAUCGAUUCUGCAGCAGAUUGAAUUAGAUCUAAAAGCCACCCAGGCCUUGGUCCUAGCACCCACUCGAGAAUUGGCUCAGCAGGUAAGAGUGGCUUCUAUUCCCUCCUUCAGGGCUGAUUUAGGGAUGAUGAGUAUAAUCCAAGGACCAGAGAAGUCUUCUCUGAUCACCACCUUGG